GUCCUAAGAGAACAAAUUUUAACAGGUGAUAUCCUUUGGAAGCCUGAUUGAUAAUCAUUCAGGAAAUAAUUAAUUCAUGUUGAGAUCUCACUUGAUUUAAAUUCACUGGUUGCCAAUAUCUUCACACUCAGUUGGUAAUGUCCUACGAAAAUAGAAUAUGAUUUAAAAUUACACUCUAAAUUUCUAAGGUAAGUGAACAACCUUAUCUGAUAAAAUUUUGCAAUUGAUCGUCUUAAUACGUAAUUUUGAUUCUCAGGAAACCAAAACAACUUGACAGAGAGGAUUCCAAAAUGAGCUGUUUAAAAUUUUAAGAAUAUGAGCCUACUCAUUAAUCAUUAUGUCAUUGAUACUACAGAGUAUAAGAAAGACAAUAUGAGACUGAAGAUUAUUGGAUACAUAACAAAACACUGUAACAAACAUAAUGAGCUGCAUGAGGGCACUAGUUAUAACUUUAUUUUAGCUAAAUAUAAUACUCCCUCUGUUCCAGGAUAAAAGUAUUGGCUGACUUUUGCGCAUAUUAAGAAAGAGAAUAAAGUGAAAAGAUUAUCCAUAUUUAAAAUUAAAUUUGUCAUACUAGUACAUUAUUGAUGAAUUAUCCCCUCCAUUUAUGGUUCAAAGUACCGGCCGUUAUGCCGAUAUUCAUAUAAGUUGGUGCCAAACCACAACACAAAAUUAGGAAUUAUUCAUGUAAAUGGUAAUUUUUGGCAACUCGGUGUAACAUAGCGGUUUCGAAGAAAUUAUGGCGUAGUGAUUUCUGACCAAAUAAAGGAGAAAUCACGAUGUAUUUAUAUAACACCAAAUUAAGUAUAACUUUUAAAAAAAUGUACUUAAUAUAUAAUUAGUUUAGCUAAAUUGUACUUAAAUUAUCAUUAAAUUAGUUUUUAAAAAUAUAAUUAAUAUACAAUUUGUACCUAUCUAGUUAAGUACAACCUAAAAAAAUUGCACUUUAAAUAUACUUAGGGGUUGUUUGUUUUCUACUCAAUGACUGACCGAUUCAGCCAUUUAGUGCGUCUGUUUUUUUGAAAAAAUCGUCUGAAUGGCUGAACUGGUUAGCCAUUCAGACAAUUUGGACUGAAUGGUUUAGUCCCAUUUUUUUAACUGAAUGGACUGAAUGAGCGGUUGAAUGAUUUUUUGUUUACAAUAUUAACUAUUAUAUUAAGUAAUAUUAAAUAAAUUUACAACAAUUUUUUGAAUUUUUUUAGAGGGGUAAAAUAAUAAAAAUAUUUUAUUCAGAUGUUUCAGACAUGUCAAUUAUCAAAUAACUUUUUCAUUCAGAUACAUUUCAUUUUUAUCAAACACCCCCUUAGUUUAGUUAAAUUGUACUUAAAUAUAUAUAACAUGUGUGCUCAAGCAUGUGACCUAAGACAACAUCAAUAUCAAUUUUAUUCAAAUGUAAAACUGAUUAAACAUGUAUGUGAGAUAUAUGUGAAAUGUAUGUUUUAUCAUUGGGACAAUUUUAUGUGCACUUUAUAGUGUUUUUUGUGAACUUAAUUAAUUCAUCUUGUUAUUCUUAUUAUUUAGAAUUUUUUUUCAUAAUUUUUUUUACUUUUUUAAGUUCCUAACUAGCUAAAAGUGUGCAUCGCCCCGAAACUGAUACCGAAAUCGAUACCAAGUCAAAAAAGGACCUUCCGAAACAUAGGUUGCUAUUGCGAUUUUGAACCAUGCCUCCAUUACACCUCUACUCGAAUUUCCCCUAAUACACAUUUAGUGACACUAAUAUUACUUUUACCGAUGCUUUCAACAACAAAAUUAUUUAUGACGAACUUUGUUGUGUCGUUAAUUAUUUGCAACGAAUUCUACAUUGUCACUUGAUGUAAUAUUUGUGUCAUUGAAUGUAUAUUGAGAGAAAGUGGAGGAUAUGUAUAAUGGAAGGGAUCCUAAUUUAUUAUUAGUUAUCUUGAAAAAAUUAUACUAUUAUUGCAAUCAAUUCCAUUAAUUCAUUUAAAUGUCUAACAUUACUUCAAACUCCAAGUACAUGAAUACUAUUAGAAAGUAUAGUGCCAAUAACUUUCACCAACUACUAAUAUCACAUGGAGAAACUUUUCAUUUCCCUUUUUUCAUUUUAGUCGUAUACAAGUUAUAGCGAACAAAGCUUGUAGCAAUAAAUAGCAUCCAAUGUUUUAAAAGGCGCUAAGCGGGAGGCGGGGCGGUCAGAGGGGCCUAGGCGAGAUUUUUUAUUUUAAGUCAAUUUUAAUAUUUUAUCUUACAUUUAUCCAAACAAAACAAUAAUAUAAAACAAAACAAUAUAUAAUAAAGAUAAUAAAGGCAUUUGCUUAAAGUUCAAACACAUCCAUAUUGUCAAUGUCAAAGUUCAAACACAAACAUGCAAUUGUUAAAAGUUCAAACAUAAUUGCUAUUAAAUAAUAAAAUUUAAAAUUUCAAGAAUUCAAUUCAAUAUUAAAACUUAAAAAACUAAACAUAAAUUUAAGAAUUAUAUUGAAUUAAACUAAAUAUUACAAAUGUAUAAUCAUUUAUAUAAUUUGAAGUUGGUACAAGUUCAAAAAAUCACAACUAUAAUAAAAUUAUCCAUUUUGACUUGGUAUUAUUCACUUCUUGUUGUGAUUUGAUAUGCUACAACAUGCAUUAUGAAUAUGGUAAAUCAUUAGAAAAAUAAAUAUAUCAAGAUUUGGUUUAGGUAAUUAUUAAAAAAAAAACAAAAAACUCUCCGCCUAGACCCCCCAUAACCCGCCUAGGCCCCGCUUGAAGGGAUUUUUUGGCCGCCUUGAGCCUAGGUGAGGUACCAGGGGGGCCUAGCACCUAGGCGGGGCACCAAAGGGGGGCCUAGAGCCUAGGCGGGGAUUUUUAGAACACUGAUAGCAUCCAAUAGCAAGAGUGGCUUUCUAAAUUCUCAUUUAGUUAUAUAGUUAUUUAAAGUAAGAGGACAUUUAACUUGGGCCUACCCAAAAUAGUAAUAAAGAUUUCAAUCUUGAGACGGAGGGAGUAUAUUUUAGCUAACGAUUAAAUUUGUCAAACGGGUCCUGCUGAUGAGACCCCUUAGGGCACUUGUUAAGCAUUAACAAAAUUAUCAUGGGAACUCUCCCUAAUAGAAUUAGGUCUAUUAACAUUGAAUGCCAUUUAUUCCAUAACAAUUUCUAAAAUAAACUACAUCAAAUUCAGUUUAACAAGUCCACAAACAACACACAAUAAAUGCUCCUUCCAAGUGACACUAAGGCACAAACAAUAUACAAAACUAUUUCAUGCUAACAAGUGCCCUGCCCUAGUGACACUAACCAGGGCAGUUGUUGCACUUCCAGGUACACAAACAAUAUACUUUUCCACUUUAAAUUAUUUAAUAAAUGCAGGAUGCAACAAAAAAAAAGUACAUUAAAACAUGGUGUCAGCUAUAACAGGUGACCCUGUAUUAAGUAAAGAAACCAUUCCGAUUCUUCAUUAAUGGGAUCGUGACCGAAGUAUAAAUAUACAAGUAUAUAAGUUGUGAACUAACUACUACCUGAACAUCAACUAACCAUCUACUCCCCAGCUAUAAAAACCACCCCAAAUCAAACAAUAUCUAAGCUAGAAACUGAUCAGUCACCUGAUCAUACAGUCUUUCGUGUCUAAAACUUAAAAAGCAUCAAAUACAACCUAAAAUCAGUACAGGCAAAACACUGAAUCCUUCACGAAGCCACAGAAAAUGAAACCGUGAGAUAUAAACCUCCAGCAAAAGAAUACAAUUUCAGGCAUAAAUAUGAAGGAAUUGUGUUUAUUGUACCUUAAAAUUCUUAAAAGACCGAACAAGAAUUAGGGUUUAUGAUUGUGUGACACGGAUUCAGCUAAAGCGAUUACAAAGCGUAAUUCGAAAUAGCUAAGAGUUCAUUAAACCCUCGAACUAACGGAUCAAGUGGCUAAACGAGAAGAUGGAAAGAAUGAUUAACCUGAAUGGAGCCAAGAAUAAGCAACCAGCCUGUUUAGCCUCCCAACUCCAGGCGGACUUCUGAAAAUUCCCCUUAUUUUCUGCUGGUUCUGCCCUUUAGUCGUAUUUUUAUUUUUUCUUUCCUUUUUUAUUUAUUCCAUUAUUCCCAAAAUUAAACAAUUAAG
rnacentral:lncRNA from 1 species